GACGAACUGCCCAAACGUUGUUCGGAAUCACUGGGCUUAAAGGGCGCGUAGGCGGCGAAUCAAGUCAGGGGUGAAAUCCGGCAGCUUAACUGUCGAAGUGCCUUUGAUACUGGUUUGCUCGAGGGAUAUAGGGGUCUGUGGAACUUCUGGUGGAGCGGUGAAAUGCGUUGAUAUCAGAAGGAACGCCGGUGGCGAAAGCGACGGACUGGAUAUCUUCUGACGCUGAGGCGCGAAAGCUAGGGGAGCAAACGGG
rnacentral:rRNA from 1 species